UACGUAGGGCGCAAGCGUUGUCCGGAAUUAUUGGGCGUAAAGAGCUCGUAGGCGGUUUGUCGCGUCUGCUGUGAAAACCUAAGGCUCAACCUUGGGCUUGCAGUGGGUACGGACAGACUAGAGUGCGGUAGGGGUGACUGGAAUUCCUGGUGUAGCGGUGGAAUGCGCAGAUAUCAGGAGGAACACCGAUGGCGAAGGCAGGUCACUGGGCCGCAACUGACGCUGAGGAGCGAAAGCAUGGGGAGCGAACAGG
rnacentral:rRNA from 1 species